GCAUUGGUGUUUCAGUGGUAGAAAUCUCCCCUUCCAUGAGAGAGACCUAGGUUUGAUUCCUGGCUAAUGCA